rnacentral:rRNA from 1 species
GAUGAACGCUGGCGGCGUGCCUAAUACAUGCAAGUCGAGCGAACGGACGAGAAGCUUGCUUCUCUGAUGUUAGCGGCGGACGGGUGAGUAACACGUGGAUAACCUACCUAUAAGACUGGGAUAACUUCGGGAAACCGGAGCUAAUACCGGAUAAUAUUUUGAACCGCAUGGUUCAAAAGUGACAGACGGCCUUGCUGUCACUUAUAGAUGGAUCCGCGCUGCAUUAGCUAGUUGGUAAGGUAACGGCUUACCAAGGCAACGAUGCAUAGCCGACCUGAGAGGGUGAUCGGCCACACUGGAACUGAGACACGGUCCAGACUCCUACGGGAGGCAGCAGUAGGGAAUCUUCCGCAAUGGGCGAAAGCCUGACGGAGCAACGCCGCGUGAGUGAUGAAGGUCUUCGGAUCGUAAAGCUCUGUUAUUAGGGAAGAACAUAUGUGUAAGUAACUGUGCACAUCUUGACGGUACCUAAUCAGAAAGCCACGGCUAACUACGUG